rnacentral:rRNA from 1 species
UACGUAGGGACCGAGCGUUGUCCGGAUUCAUUGGGCGUAAAGAGCUCGUAGGCGGCCACUCAAGUCGAAUGUGAAACCUCGAGGCUUAACCUCGAGCCUGCAUUUGAUACUGGGCGGCUAGAGUCUGGUAGGGGGAGUCGUGGAAUUCCUGGUGUAGCGGUGGAAUGCGCAGAUAUCAGGAGGAACACCGGUGGCGAAGGCGGUUCUCUGGGACGGUACUGCGCUGAGACGCGAAAGCGUGGGGAGCAAACAGG